rnacentral:sRNA from 1 species
UGUUUUUCCAUUUCCCGGCCCCCUCUUCUUGAGUACUUUACCCCCUGCAUUUGGGGACAGGGACUGGAAAAGGGGCGGGUGGAGCGUCCAGUGGAGAAGGAAGCGAGGCCCGCAGGAGGAGGAGGAUCGGCGGACCGUGGGGAGGAGACCCCACGCCACCCUUUCUGGUCAUCUCCCCUCCCGCCCCGCCCCUGCGCACACUCCCUCGCGGGCGAGCUACUUUCGGACCAGGAAAGUAAGGGCGGCCCUGGGUGACAGCGCCGCGGGGCCAGUCCCGGGGUUAGCCGCGCGUCUGCUCGCUUCUGGUCCGUCGCGCUCACAGCCAGGGCACAGCUCGGACCGAGGAUGGCUUCGACCACAACCUGCACCAGGUUCACGGACGAGUAUCAGCUUUUCGAGGAGCUUGGAAAGGGGGCAUUCUCAGUGGUGAGAAGAUGUAUGAAAAUUCCUACUGGACAAGAAUAUGCUGCCAAAAUUAUCAACACCAAAAAGCUUUCUGCUAGGGGCAGUCAAGAAAGUACUGUAAUUUCUCAGCUUCAUGGUUACUUGUCUUGAAUUGGAAGUAGAACUGAGACUAUGUAGAUGGAUUAAGUUCUGAUUAUACAUUAUUGAUUUGGCAAAUUGGAACAAUUGGACAAAUUAAAAUUUGAAGGUUUCUUGGCAAGAACAACGUUUUAAGAAAAAAAUUAGUAAAUCAUUUUUAUAUUUGUACAUGGAAUCUCCACAACUCUUCAGUUAUGGACCCAGAAGUGGCAUGUGUCAUCCUUAUUAUUUUGUAUCCUUUACUUAUGUUUAGUUGUAUUUACAUUCUUCUAUAGGUCUUGAUAUUAAACAUUUAUUUUCUUCUUUCAUUGAA